GACAGAGGGUGCAAGCGUUGUUCGGAAUUACUGGGCAUAAAGCGCACGUAGGCGGUUCGCUAAGUCUGUCGUGAAAUCCCCCGGCUCAACCGGGGAAUAGCGUCGGAUACUGGCGAGCUCGAGGUCGAUAGGGGUAAGUGGAACUCCAGGUGGAGCGGUGAAAUGCGUAGAUAUCUGGAGGAACACCGGUGGCGAAGGCGGCAUCCUGGACCGAGAUUGACGCCUGAGGCGCGAAAGCCAGGGGAGCAAACGGG
rnacentral:rRNA from 1 species